AAACAGGAUUAGAUACCCUGGUAGUCCACGCCGUAAACGAUGAGUGCUAAGUGUUAGGGGGUUUCCGCCCCUUAGUGCUGCAGCUAACGCAUUAAGCACUCCGCCUGGGGAGUACGGUCGCAAGACUGAAACUCAAAGGAAUUGACGGGGGCCCGCACAAGCGGUGGAGCAUGUGGUUUAAUUCGAAGCAACGCGAAGAACCUUACCAGGUCUUGACAUCCUCUGACAACCCUAGAGAUAGGGCUUUCCCCUUCGGGGGACAGAGUGACAGGUGGUGCAUGGUUGUCGUCAGCUCGUGUCGUGAGAUGUUGGGUUAAGUCCCGCAACGAGCGCAACCCUUGAUCUUAGUUGCCAGCAUUCAGUUGGGCACUCUAAGAUGACUGCCGGUGACAAACCGGAGGAAGGUGGGGAUGACGUCAAAUCAUCAUGCCCCUUAUGACCUGGGCUACACACGUGCUACAAUGGACGGUACAAAGGGCA
rnacentral:rRNA from 1 species